CUGUCUUUUCCACGGUGUUUUUUACCCAUUGGCCUGUCCUCUCCUGUAUGUCUGAGUCCUGUCCCUUCAGAUUUCUCUAUCAGAGCAUAAAGAGAGGUGUCCCAAAACACCCUGCACAUCUCAGUCUAUGUAAGACUGUCUGAAACCGUAUUUCUAGUUGCAAUUUUGAUACAGAGAUGCAUCUGGCCACAGAUUCCACAAGCAGCAAAAUCUUGGAUAGACACAAUAUUUGGUCAGUAUUGACAAUUUAACUGAAUGCACCAUUUUUACACUGAACUUGUCACUGACUGGAAACACUGUGUGCUUUCCACUUGUCUCUUGUAUGAAGUAUAUAAUAAAUGUAUAUAUAAACAUGGUUUUACAUAAAAAAAAAUAUUAUAGAUUGUAUUUGUUCUUUUUUUUCCUGAGUUAGACUAUUGCUUUAACAUUAAGACAUGGCAAAUUUGAUCUUUUUUAUUUUUCUUCUUCUUAAGCAUGUGACCCAUGCUGUGCAAUUCAAGUUGAUACUUUAUAUUUAGCUGAGUCAGGGGGUGUCUGACUGACGCGUCUGUGUUUGUAAAAUGAAAUCAAGGGGGUGGAUACAAAUUGCUGGAACACUGUCCUAUUAAACUCUUCCCUCUGGAGCCCCUUGCUUUGAGAGAUGGUGCAAGCACGUCUUUCAUUCGCCCCCUUUUCCUAUUCUCUCUUCAACCAAUUUCUGGAAUACAUGAACCAUGGCUAAGAAACACAGCUGGGGUCAGAUGGGCCAUUGCUGUACUGAUGUCAGGUGGUGAUGGCCAAGGGAGGAAUGCAGCUGUGAGGGCCACUGUCAGAGUUGGCCUUUACACUGGAGCACAAGUCGUCUUUGUCCAUGAGGGCUAUCAGGGAUUGGUUGAUGAAGGGAAUCACAUCCGUCCUGCUACUUGGGAGAGUGUGUCCGUGAUACUACAGCUGGUGUGACCUCAGAUGCUAGAAUGGUGGUACAGUCAUUGGCAGUGCCCUCUGUAAGGAUUUCCAGACCAGAGAGGGGCGUUUGAAGGCUGCCUACAAUCUCGUCAAACUAGGCGUCACCCACCUUUGUGUAACUGCCGAUGGCAGUUUAAUUGGUGCCAACUUAUUUCGCACAGAGUGGAGUGACUUGCUGAAAGUUCUUAUCAGCAAAUGUAAACCAGGCAUUUUAUUAAAAAUAUUAUUUACAAUUUAAAACUAACUUUUUAAAAGUUUGUUUGUGUAUGUGUGUGAGUACUAGUGUUCCCUAUACGUUAUGGGGAAUAUGUCCCCACAAGGAUAAUAAUACCAACAAAUUUGGACAUUGUGUGGACAUUUUUGAGAGACAGUAUUAAAAUUAAGUCACAUGGCAUCUGAUGUACAGAAGCCACUGGUAGAUGCCACUAUGCUCAUCUAGUGACACUUCUGGUUUUCACUGGCAUGUACCGCUGACACUUGUGACAUGUGCUGAUGGACUGUUUCAGUGUUGCUUGUCAAUAUUGUUGCGGGACAUAUCACCAUACUGUUGAGGUGUACACUCCAGAGACAAUGCCGCUGUCAGCUGGAGUAUAAUGUAGACUGUGUAACACACGCACUUUAUUGCCGAACAACCAUUAGGCUUCUUCAUCUGUUUAAUAUUUGUCUUGUGUAAUGUAUUUAUAUUAAUCUUUGCCAACACCCCAGACUCUGUUAGUGUGUUGGGCAUGAGAAGUGUCUUUCCCUCAGACACUGUAUUCCGCAGAACCCGUGAUGGUUGAAGCUGAGGCCUAUUAUGAAGAUCUUGGCCAAGAACAAGAUUAGUCUGGACACCUCUGAACAUGCUUUUAGGGAGCAUGUCAUCAGCAAGAAGCCUCCAGUGCACAUGACUCUCCCGAAGUAAUCAUGAGCAAAAAUGUGGACUGACAGAUACAACAAGCAUAUGAAAUGACUGAAUUAUUUAUUUAAAUAAUUAUUUGUUUGUCUGUCUUUUUCUUAUUCUUUUAUUUGUUUGUAAAUUUAGUGUUUAUGGUAACGCUCUUGCAUCAUGCAAAUUAAAAUGAUCUUAUUGUUAA